ensembl:lncRNA
ACUGAGGCCCAGGACAUUGCUCAAGAUCCUACAACUCAGCUGGGCUGAGAGUCAGGGGCACAGCUGGGAUUCAAACCUUCAUUCAUUGGGCCUUCAAGUCCACUCUCCUUCCAGUGGCCAUACUAUAGUAGAAAGUAUGUAGGACAUUUGGGAUUUCCAGUGACAGACUCUCCCAGUGCAGGGGCCCGGGUUCGGUCCUUAGGGAACUAGAUGCUGCAUGCCACAAGGAAGAUCGAAGAUCCUGCAACUAAGACCCGAUGCAGCCAAAUAAAGUGCUGACCCUGCCACUGGCUGGCACUUCAGACCUGCAUUCAUGUGAAAUGCUGUGCUCAAGACUUCAGCUCGUGGCCAUGUGCAGAGACGCCUCCACCCACACGUACACCAUGAUUCAAGAUGGCACCAGUAAGCCACAUGCAGAGACGUGCACCCAGGCACUGCGAGAGCUCCAGUGGGUUCUGGGAGAGCACAGCUGCACCAGACUUGUCAGAGCUCUCUCCCCUCUCUGCUGACAAGAUCCUUAUAAAACAGCCCUGCUGCUGCUAAGUCGCUUCAGUUGUGUCCGACUCUGCAACCCCAUAGACGGCAGCCCACCAGGCUCCCCUGUCCCUGGGAUUCUCCAGGCAAGAAUACUGGAGUGGGUUGCCAUUGCCUUCUCCAAUGCAUGAAAGUGAAAAGUGAAAGUGAAGUCGCUCAGUCGUGUCCAACUCCUAGCGACCCCAUGGACUGCAGCCUACCAGGCUCCUCCAUCCAUGGGAUUUUCCAGGCAAGAGUACUGGAGUGGGGUGCCAUCGCCUUCUCCGUAUAAAACAGCCCUACUGAAGGCCUUUCAGGAAGAUCUUGUACCCAGGAGUACUAGCGAACAACUCUCCAUUC